GUAAAGAAAGAUUGAUUAAAGCGAACGACCAGCCAACCAACCAACCAACCAACCCACAAAGGAACCAACGAAACCACCAACAUUUAUAUCGGACAUUAUGAUAUUGAGAAAGAUACGCAAAUAAACCAAAAAUAAAACCUGUCAAGUUUUAUGUCCAGAGGCGCCAACCUAAAAUAAGAAUCAGGGAAACGCUGAAAUAGAAUUUUUUUAUGGUGGAUUUAAUCCAAUAAAAUAAUUAUUGACAGACUGUGUUCAUGCUGUGGCCAUGAAGAAUUUUAGUCAAAGGGAUCGAUUACAGCACUUAGUUUUAAAACCUGGUACUUAUUCUCUCGAUGUCUUUUGCCGAACUGCUGACUUACGCAGUCGUAAACACACCAAUACCGGUUGUCAAGCGUGGGUGUGAGAGAUCUAACGCACAAA